UUUCAAGACCGUUUUUACUUGAAGUAUUAACCCGAGCUACACUUUUUCAAAUUAUUAGAUUGAGAUGAAAUCAUGGUACUUAAAAUAUAUUUUGCUCCUAAGCAAAGCAGUAAACAGUUUCGGCUAGUGAGUUUACAAUUGGCCCGGGUCAAACUUAUUAAUAAAAUACAGUUUUAUAAUUGAAGUGGAUAGUUCGGAACAAAACGGAAUGCAUGAAAUAACUAUGAAAAAGGUGAAGCAUUUUAAAUUUAUAAAAUGCCAAGUAGCAAUUGAAAACAAUUAAGUCCUGAACAUCUAAAGGAAUCCUAAACGAUUAUUCUAGAACGUUAUAUAUGAUUUUAAAAGAAUAAAAACACAUAUAACUUGGACCGAAUACACAAAGAAUAAAAUUCAUUACAGAAGACAAUAAAUUGACUUCCCUACAAAUGUUAACAAACCAUAAUUAAAAUUUAUCAUCAUAUUGAUUUCAAUAAAUUGUCCAUUGUCUUCUGAAAGAAUCAAUUAAAAUUGUUUAUAUUUGAAAUAAAAAUAGAACUGAAGUUGUGAAAAUUCUUUCGGAUGAAGAUAAAUAAUGAUUUUAGAAAUGCAAUAUUAAAGCUACAGGACAGAAUGUUGAUUUAUGUAUUUUAGUACACCAUUUUAUCGUAAAACAGUCACUUAAACCCAGAGACCAUAGAGUGGUAUACUUAAUAUUGUUCGCGAAAAGAUGACUAUUCAUAAUGUCCACGGAUGGAAAAAGGGCAAGUGUGUUUAUUUACUGAAUAUGACGUAACAAGGACUCGACAAGAGAAUGAACAAUGUCACAGAAUUUCAGCAAAAUUGCACUUUGGCAGGGAAUGAAUGAACACGCUCAAGAUGAAAUAAGCCACAGUUUUGUGUUUUCUGCCAUUGAAACAAAACCCAAAGGGACCAUUCUUUUGUGACCUGUUAUUGCUUUCGAACAUUAUUUUUUUUAAAUGUUUAAGUUGUCCUUCUAUUGUGUGUAAAAAGUUGAUGUCUUAAAUUGACCAUUCAAUAUUUUGCUUGAAAUCAUUUUAGUGGUUUUUGGAAAAUAAAAUAUAUAUGAUA